AGGGGUGUCCGUUAAUUGGUAAGCGGCGACUCUCCAAAAGUCGUGCUGUCGGUUCGAGUCCGACCACCCCUG
rnacentral:tRNA from 1 species